rnacentral:misc_RNA from 1 species
UCCGUUUACUCAAGUAAACGAGUAUUUACUAGUGAAACGUAGUCGCCAGUGGGUCCAAUCUCCUCUCUCCAUCACUCCGGUAUUGCUGCUACUUGAGCAACAGCAGAUCUGCUACUCUUUCACUCGCUGAGCUGAUCUCUGAAUUCGGCAAAUGCUGUGGUUCAAGUCAAUUGGAGCUUCAGGAUUACUAUUUCUACUCUGGUUAUGGCUGUUCCAGACGACUGAAGCUUCAGUGCAUGAUUACAAUGUGGAGAAAUUCGUGAGCAAGGGCAAUGCAUUUGUGGUUCACGGAGGUAGCGAAGGAAUUUACUCCUCUGUUCCUAACCUCACUGAAUCUCCUUCCUAUUCUUCUAACACCGACUCCUUCAUUCGGUUUGAAAAGAUUAUAUUUCGGAGGCCAAAGGAAUUCUCAAACUUCAGCUCAGACCCAGUUCAUGCAAUUGUUUUUGAGGUGGAUGAUCGAGAGUUAAUUGGGGGCUCUGCUUAUGGUGGCCAAAGAGCUAUUUGUUGCACAGUGGAUCUUGCAAAACUUGGAGUUUGUACACAAGGGCAAAUAAUUCACCGCCCAUCUGCUAGUAAUCCCGGAUGGCCUAAAGUUUUUAGUGCCUCAUUCAGCAUUGAUGAAGUUGAUGUAGCACUGCAGUCGAGAUCAAUCCCCAUUACAAAAACUGGGAUGUAUAACGUGUAUUUUAUUCACUGUGAGCCAAAUCUUAAGGAAAUAACUGUUGAAGGGAAAACCAUAUGGAAGAAUCCUACUGGUUACCUACCUGGUAGAAUGGCUCCCCUUAUGAACUUCUAUGGGUACAUGUCUCUUGCAUUCGUGUUACUAGGGAUCUUUUGGUUUUCGCAGUAUGCAAGAUUCUGGAGAGAAGUUAUUCCUUUACAAAAUUGUAUUACACUCGUUAUAACAUUGGG